rnacentral:rRNA from 1 species
UCGUCAUCGUAGGGUUAGUCGGGACCUAAGUCGAGUCCGAAAGGGGUAGACGAUGGCAAAUCGGUUAAUAUUCCGAUACCGACAUUACAUCAUUUGAGUGAUGGGGGGACGCAUAGAGUUAAACGAGGUCACUGAUGGAUAUGUGGCUCGAAGGGUGUAGGUUGUAAGAUAGGCAAAUCCGUCUUACAUUCGACCGAGACCUGACAGGCAGAACAAUCUCUUCGGAGAGCGUUUUGAAUCGUUGAUACUGUCGUGCCGAGAAAAGCCUCUAAACGAGAUGUAAUGUUGCCCGUACCGUAAACCGACACAGGUGGGUGAGAUGAGUAUUCUAAGGCGCGUGGAUGAACCCUGGUUAAGGAACUCUGCAAACUAGCACCGUAUCUUCGGUAUAAGGUGUGCCCUGACUGUUAAGAGAUUUACUCUCUGAAGCGGUCAUGGGUCGCAGCAAAGUGUCCCUCCCGACUGUUUAC